AAUAUUCAACAUGAUUUCAAAAUAGUAACUAUAUAUUGAUAUUUUAAUUAAUAUUUUCUAUAAUAUAUGCAUGUUAUUCGGUAAACAUAAAAUGAAAAGUUAUAUAAAACCUGGCAAUUUUAAAGCAGGUGUAAAGUUUGGUGUAUAUAUUUAUAUAGGAGUGACUAUUGCGAGCUUAUGCAUCGCACCUUUCGUUUUUACUUUUGCUCCUUAUUUAAUUCUGCCAUUCGCUUUACUAGUCUCAAAACCCAUUGCUUGGAUUGCGCUUGGAGCUGUUUUCAUAGUAGCAGCUGGGUUAACUUUCAGUGCCGCAAAACCUUUAUUCGAUAUGGCAAAGGAUUCUUUACAUAGAAGAAAAAUUCAAAAUAAAGGGCAAUAUGUAACGCUAAAAGACUUAAAUAAUACUCCAGGCAGAUCAUCAGAUAGCAGCCGCAGGAGUUCUGAUGCUUCUCUUGAUUCACAAAAGAGCAGCCUCA